rnacentral:rRNA from 1 species
UACGGAGGGGGCAAGUGUUACUCAUCAUGACUAGGCGUAAAGGGUGCUAAGAUUGUUAUAGCUUGUUUUAAUUGAAAUAUUAAUUGAACUAUUGAAAAAAUUUUUAAACAAUUUAACUGGGGUUAGCUGGAGAAUAGAAUUACUAAUUUUUAAGGGGUAGAAUCCAACGAGAAAAUUAGGAGGAACAAAGGCGAAGGCAUCUAUUUAUGGUUAACUGACGUUGAAGCACAAAAGCGUGGGGAGCAAACAGG